rnacentral:lncRNA from 1 species
CAAAGACCCUUACCCGUGGGAAAAAUUGCCAUCCCUAGUUACCAAGCUUUGCACGUUAAUAGAAGCAUGAGUUGCUACUCUUCCAUUUUCCUAUGAACUCUCCCUUAUCAAGACCAUAUGAAGCAGGAGGUGUCUAAAGGGACAAAGAAUUAAGGUACUUACUAGAUACGAAAUGAGUUUCAUCAAUUGUAAAGUAAUUAGACUAUUUUUCACUUGUAUAAAACGCAAAGGACCCACUAGUGUAGUGGUUUGGAGUAUUUACUCCUUUAGGGAAGGUCCUGGGUUCGAGUCCUAACAUCCGUGUUAUGUGUGUGAGUUUAAUAUGCCAUCGCCCCUUUCAAAAGAAAAUGUCCUAAAAAAAAAAAAAAAAAAAGAGAGAGACUAGUUUCCACUUGUAUAAAACAGAAGAUUAGUGUUUGAGAGACCACAUUAUUAUAACUCAUUGGACUCGGUUGUAUACAUCACUCACCACACAUGUGCGGCUAUUUUAUCAUUAAUUUAAGGUUUUUUACUUCACCAUAUAACUCAACAUUCCACAAUGC